ACGUUUCUUUCACUCUUGUUCUGCUUCGUCAUCCUUGCAGCCUUCGAGGCGCAAAUCGGGGAGGCAACAUGCCAAAGGCCAAGCAAAGGAUAUUGGAGAUGUGUCCCUUACCAGUGUAACUCAUACUGUAAGCAGUACGAAGGAGCUUACUAUGGUUCUUGUAUCAAGAAACACUGGGGUGCUUAUUAUUGCUAUUGCCACCACCGCCAACGCUGAAUGAGUUUCGUAACUUAAUAUGUAAUCACUUGGUGAUACUGAAACUGUAUAUGUAACAUACACUAAAUAAAAGCUGCCCGUGUGUGGUUC